rnacentral:rRNA from 1 species
AUGCCGCUCAAGCUCGUGUUCAUCGUCGUUGCUCCGGUGGCCUUGACGUGCGGCAUACUGCAACUCUCCAGCAUCCCCUGGCGAACCAAUGUCGGCAUCGGCAGCGUUCUGCUCGCCUUCCUCUUCAUCGUCGGGCUGUGCGAGCGCGUGCGCUCGGGCGCUAGAACCAGAGGGGGUCAGUUCAUGGCCGCACUUGCACGGGAACCAGCCAUCGGGCUAGGCCGUGCCGCGAUCGCCAGUCUGCCCGUGUACAAGUACGAGAAGCUGAGGUGCGGCGGCGGAGAGGGCCACCAGUGCGCGGUGUGCCUGGCCGAGGUCAGGCCCAAGGAGGUGGUGAAGCAGCUGCCGGCGUGCACGCACCUCUUCCACGACCGGUGCAUCGACGAGUGGCUGUGGUCUCACAGGACGUGCCCGGUCUGCCGGUCUCCGGUCGAUGCCUCCACCGUGCCGGCCAUGGAAAUAGCCGCCCGUGCUAUGCAAUCUGUGUAG